CAAUGUCUCUCUAUUUCCCAUAGAAUGAUAAAUGGAUAGUCAUUUUAAAAACUGAUGUUAAUCUCUUAAAAAGGGCUUCAAUUUAUUUGGAAUAAACUUAAUAUCAUGAAAAUAAUUUUUUAAUCUUCUUCAAAGUUAGCUAAAUAUACACAUUUUUAUACAUAUUUAUUGAUCCAAUUAUGCUAUCGGAAUGAUUAUAAUUAUUUUUACUGAACAUGUUCGAAUUUAUUUGUCUGUAUAUUGAAUAUAUUGAUAUUAAGUCAUAUUUUUCUCAAAUUUUUGCAAAUUUAUUUUUUAAGUUAUUUGUGAUAAUCAUAUUGAUUAGUAUCUUUAGUUCGCCACUAAAUCAAAAAAUAUGAGGAAAAUUUUAGAAUCCAUGUUUUAAUGCAUCAAUGUCUCCCUAUUUCCCAUAGCAUGAUAAAUGGAUAGUCAUUUCAAAAACUGAUGCCAGUCUCUUAAAAAGGGCUUCAAUUUAUUUGGAAUUAACUUAAUAUCAUGAAAAUAAUUUUUUAAUCUUCUUCAAAGUUAGCUAAAUAUCCACAUUUUUAUACAUAUUGAUUGAUUAAUUCAAUUAUGUCAUCGAUAUAGUUAUGAUUAUUUUUACUUAACAUGUUUGAAUUUAUUUGUCCGUAUAUUGAACAUUUUGUUAUGGAGUCAUAUUUUUCUCAAACUCUCCCAAUUUGUUUUCACGUUAUUUGUGAUAAUCACAUUGAUUAGUAUCUUUUGGUCGCCACUCGAUCAAAAAAGAUGGAAAAUUUUAGAAUCCACUUUUUAAGGCAUCAAUGUUUCUCUAUUUCCCAUAGCAUGAUGAAUGGGUAGUCAUUUUAAAAAUUUAUGCGAAUCUCGUAAAAAGGGCUUCAAAUUAUUCGGAAUUAACUUAAUAUCAUUAAAA